CCUACGGGUGGCAGCAGUGGGGAAUAUUGGACAAUGGGGGGAACCCUGAUCCAGCCAUGCCGCGUGUGUGAAGAAGGCCUUUUGGUUGUAAAGCACUUUAAGCGAGGAGGAGGUGCUUCCGAAAUAAGCACCGGCUAACUCUGUGCCAGCAGCCGCGGUAAUACAGAGGGUGCAAGCGUUAAUCGGAUUUACUGGGCGUAAAGCGUACGUAGGUGGUCUUUUAAGUCGGAUGUGAAAUCCCUGAGCUUAACUUAGGAAUUGCAUUCGAUACUGGGAGACUAGAGUAUGGGAGAGGAUGGUAGAAUUCCAGGUGUAGCGGUGAAAUGCGUAGAGAUCUGGAGGAAUACCGAUGGCGAAGGCAGCCAUCUGGCCUAAACUGACACUGAGGUACGAAAGCAUGGGGAGCAAACAGGAUUAGAUACCCUUGUAGUC
rnacentral:rRNA from 1 species